AUGGUUGUCGUCAGCUCGUGUCGUGAGAUGUGGUAGUCCGCAACGAGCGCAACCCCUAUUGUUAGUUGCCAUCAUUCAGUUGGGCACUCUAGCGAGACUGCCGGUAAUAAACCGGAGGAAGGUGGGGAUGACGUCAAAUCAUCAUGCCCCUUAUGACCUGGGCUACACACGUGCUACAAUGGUUGGUACAACGAGUUGCGAGUCGGUGACGGCGAGCUAAUCUCUUAAAGCCAAUCUCAGUUCGGAUUGUAGGCUGCAACUCGCCUACAUGAAGUCGGAAUCGCUAGUAAUCGCGGAUCAGCACGCCGCGGUGAAUACGUUCCCGGGCCUU
rnacentral:rRNA from 1 species